AGAAGGAGAUGUGAUUUCACGUGGAACAUGAAUCACACACAUCCCAGAGCUCAACACCCUGGCCGGGAGGAAGGCCUUGCUCUGUAUUCUGGAGUGAGUGCUGCCCCCACCGAGCACAGAGCCUUGGUUCUCACUCACCCGGGACAGUUACCUGGAAGCCGGCCGUUUGGAGACCAGUUACACCACCCUGCUCAGCUCCUGGGAAAUGUCCUCAUCAAGCAAACAGGCUGCUUGCAAACUUGGGCUUCACGAGUUGCAGGGGAAGCGGUGGAGGAGUGGUGAGUAAAUACCAGGGCGUCACCCAGGACACGUGCCCUGGACAGAGGACAGACAGGCCUCCCCAGGGGACACAGCGCUGCCUGUGAAGAUGGGGGUGGCUGGCCUGUACCAUGGAGUCACCUCCACGUCCAAGCCCCAAGACCCUCGUGACUUUCAGGGAGGGGAGCAGACACCAAGGCUCCCCUCCUGCUCGAAGACGGCCAGGACAGGUUGGGGGAGCGUGCACAGCCUCACGUCCCCGGCCAGCACCCACCUGCCCUGAUCGGGCGGGCCCGCCUCCAGGCCUGAGGUUCCCUGAGCACCAAACACCAGCAAAUCCCACAGCACACCGCCAGGGAUGGAGUGGCCAAGGUGGGCGCCACGAACUGUGGAGUCUAACGGGACCAGAUUCGCCACCUGGAAUUCGUUUUACAGAUGCAACAGCCUACAGAUCUAUUCUUGGCUUCCAAACAGAAGUUCCAACAAGAAUGUUCUUGCUCUCCGCUAAGCAUCAAAUAAGGAACUGUUCAGGAAGCAGGCCCACUCUGAGGAUGAGUGGUCCUCAGGGAGGCACCUGCAGGCCCACUCCGCAGGUGUUUUGGGUGGGCACUGACCCCCGGGGCUUCGUGAAUGGGGGACCUCACUGUGAGGGGGUCAGGCCUGUGAACCAGCUUUCCUGUUACCUGGAGUCAUGGUUCCAGUCACCAGCCAGAGUGGGCUAAACGCUACCUGAGGACACACCACGUUGUCUGAUAGUACGGCGGCCUCUUCUCAGAGAGGAUAGCACCGUCUGUGUUGAGAAAAAUACCCCAGACUUGGAGAUCUGGCCAGAGAGCGUGAGGUGGUGGGCUCAGAACUGAGGCUGCACACGACUCCGGGGUCCUCAGGCGGCCUCCCCCAUGAUGCUGUUCGACGAGCCUUGGAAGGCAGAUCAGCCCGAGACACCCAAGCGUCACCCUCCCUGCUUCCUAUAGCUGCACAAGUUCUGGCCAUGAAGGAGCGACCCGAGUCCCCACAAGGGGAGCCGCUGGCAUGAGUCGGGAGGAGGCUCGGGCUGCAGCUCAUCAGACGGUCAGCAGGGAGGAGCCACCUGGGGCUCCACCUGGCCCACCCGCCUGGGCACUGAGGGUCCUGUCACCAAAGAGGGGGACGAGCUCGGGGGUGCCACUGCUGUCUCGUCAUGAGCCCUCCUUUCUGUCAGCUGAACGAUCAGUGACACGGCAGGCCUGGCACCUGGCCAGGCGCCCACCCCUGGCCUCAGCAGAGACCGAGUCAUUCGACUUUUCAAAGAGCCUGAUGCUGUUACAGACAGAGCCACCCAGUAACUCGGCCCAACAGACAGGCAGCCCUGAGCACCUCUGAGGCUGGGCGCGACUGGCCAGAGACACUGGCUCAGGCAGCACCACACGCUCAGCCUCCUCAACACCAGGGAGGCUCCUCCUCCAAGCACGAAGCCUGGGAGGGUCUCACAGCCUGGCCUCCGCAUCUGCAGAGGCCCGUCUCUCUGCACCCGGCCCUCCCCAGUGGCAGGGGCUCCAACAUUCGAUACUCACGGGCUUGUUAUAGCAGUAACUCGUGCUUGCGGCGAAGACAGAACAGGCGCAGAGAUGCAAGAACACGGUAAAAACAGGCCAUCCCCUGCACCCUGCACGGGCAGCCGCGGUCAGCCACAUGUCCCAGGCACGUGGCAGCCCACGGGCACAGGCAGCCGUGGUCAGCCACACAUCCCAGGCACGUGGCAGCCCACGGGCACAGGCAGCCGCGGUCAGCCACACGUCCCAGGCAUGUGGCAGCCCACAGGCCCAAGGAGCCACAUCCCCUCACCAACGGGCUCCGUGCCGCUGCAGCUGUGCGUGCGCAUCCAGUGACCUGGGCAGCAAGCAGAGGUCAGGCCACAUGUGUCACUACACUCCAGGGAGGUGCCAGCUCCAAGCCCUGCUGCCCAGCACGCUGAAAGCCGUGGGAACCUUGAUGUUUCAGCAAACGGCAACUGAUGGGUUAUACAAGUCCUCCUGGAGCUCUACAGGGGAAUGAGUAGGGGCUCUGCCCUGAGCCCUGAGCCCCACGGCCCUGCCAGUGCCAGUGCCUGAGAAGGAAGCCCCAUGAACUGUGACUGCACGAGGAGGUCGCUGCAGCAAACGGAGACCUUUGCGUCUGGGAUUCAGAUCUUUAGAAUACAGUCUAAGCCAGCUUAUGUAGUUUUCUAACAAAUACCUUAUCAGCCAGAAAGGAAAAACAAUGUUCUGAACAGAAGCUAGUGAUCCGCAAAUUCUAAAAAAGUAAACUUUCCUGUUGUGGUGUGUUUAUCUCCACCUCCGGUACAACGGCCCUUCUGUUAACGGACACAAGGGGCAUCUGUGGCAUUCCAUCUGCCCGGCAACCUUGCCCUUUCAGGGAGGUCUGCGUGCCUGCGGGGCAGCUGAGCACACGGUGCCAGGGCCACUCAGGCCAAGCGGACGCAACCCCGGAGUCGCGCGGCUUUUCGGGUUUCAGGACAGCACCGUCUCGCUGCUCCCAGAGGACACGUCACCGGCUGGCACAAGGGGUCCGGCACCGCCAGAGCACAAGGUCAGCACCGGCCGGGACUUCUCAGGCACCCAACCAAUGGGCUCCACACACAGCCACACUGGCCCUGGUGGGCAUGCCUCUGAAUCCGGGAGUCCCGGCAGCUGGCCCAGGGGGCCGCCCUGGGCCCACGCUGCAUCCCAAACAGGUGCAGGGCAUGUGCUCCAGCCCACGAGGCCUGCGGGUUGGGGAGCUGCCUCCCUCCUGAGCGCAGCGUGGUUGCCGUCCAAGAGCCACGGCCUCCGCGUACUCAGCCCCAUGAGGUGCCUCUGGUGAGCGAAGCCCCGAGCGGCUCCUGUGCUAGAGCUGAGUGCACAGACGCCCCGGGCUGAACCAGCGUCUGCUGAGCAGCAGCAACCCCUGCAGCCAGACACACCAACAAGGAGACCGCAGCCCCUUCUCUCCCAUGACCCUUAUCUGUGCUGCGUCCCAGAUAAGGAAACCGGGUAGAGAAAGGUGACCGCCAAAGGCUCCCUGGGGGUGUGAACUGCAUCUGGGCCCAGAGCCCCCCAUCCCCGUCUGCCCUCAGCAGGCCCAGCCUCAGGCCGAGGCGCUAGUUUCAGAGAAGCAGGGUUGACCAGGCUACUUCAGCAGCCUCACCUGGGGAUGGCUGUUGUUUCCAGCAAGAUCCUACAGCAUUCCACAAAACCACACAGAGUUUGGCACAAAACCACUUGUAAGUCACAGGCUGCCAGGGAACCCCCAAUGGGGCAGAGUAGGGGGAGCGACCACCCUGGUCUGCCUGGGCUGAGGGGGUCCUGGGACCCAGGGCUGAGCCGGGAGCAGCCCAGGAAACCCUGAAGGACUGUCCACAUCAGCCCUUUCACCUCAAUGGGGCCGGGCCACGUUGACUCCCGAUGGUAAGCAGCAUCUUUCAAACUUUUGGAGCAUAACCCACAGCA
ensembl:lncRNA